rnacentral:lncRNA from 1 species
GGACCGCCCCACCUGCCUUCCCCAGCUUCCCUCCCUCUAGCAGAGUCCCAGGUGUUCCCCCUCGGCAUCCCGGACUCAGCUACAAAACACAGGCCUGGGGUGUUCUCUGGGAUGGCUAGAUCCGUCCACCCUGGCUUCACAUCAGAAUCAUCUGGGGACCCUUAAAAAAUACCGAGGCCUGAAUCCCACUCUGGGUCAAUUAAAUCAGAUGUUCUGGGAGGGGCCUGUGAUUUUUGGACGAGGAGACCGAGGUCAUGAGCAGGUUUCCCAACCCAGACUCCUUGGACUGUCAUGACUUUCAUUCCUAGAUAUGGAUCCAAUCCAGGCUUCCACAUUGCGUUAGUUGUCACGUCCCCUUUGGCUCCCCUGAUCUGUGAUGGUUUCUCAAUCUUCCCUUUGUUUUCGAUGACAGAAGAUUAGCCCUGAGCUAACAUCUGCUGCCAAUCCUCCUCUUUUUGCUGAGGAAGACUGGCCCUGAGCUCACAUCCGUGCCCAUCUUCCUCUACUUUAUAUGUGGAACACCUACCACAGCAUGGCUUGACAAGAGGUGCCAUGUCCGCACCCGGGAUCCGAACCGGUGAACCCUGGGCAGCCGAAGUGGAACAUGCAAACUUAACUGCUGAGCCACCGGGCAGGCCCCUUCUGUAUCCUUUUGAUGUGUCUCCAUCCUUUCGUCUUCUGAGCACUUCCUUACUUUCUUGAUGUUAUAAGACGCUGCAGGCGCAUCUUGUAUUUCCCCUGUCUCAGGCCUAGAAUCAGCCAUUGCCCCAAGGCUCUGCUUUCUUUCAUUAGAGAACAGUAUUUAGAAAACAAUAUCUGAGCACUGGUUUGCUCGCUGCUAUUGAGAUUAUGUCACACAUUUGUAAUACAGUUAGAGCCUUUUGUCACAGUCUGCAUUUCAUCCUGGCAUUCCCCAACCUCCCGGUUGAUUUUUUUUAAUUUGCAUACAUUACAGUUCACUCUUUGUGAGAUACAAUUCUACAGGAUUUGACAAAUGCAGAGUCACAUACUCACUACUGUAGUCCCACACAGAAUACUGACAUCCCCUAAAAAUUGCCCUGUGCGUCUCUUUUGUAGUUGUCCUCUCUGCCCCCCAACCCCCAGCAACUGUCCCUCUGUCUCCUGCAUUUAGUUUUUGUUUGUUUGUUCAUUCUUGUUUUUGCUUUUUUGAGGAAGAUUAGCCCUGAGUGAACAUCUGCCACCAAUCCUCCUCUUUUUUUUUUGCUGAGGAAGACUGGCCCUAAGCUAACAUCCGUGCCCAUCUUUCUCUACUUUAUAUGUGGG